rnacentral:rRNA from 1 species
UACGUAGGGGGCGAGCGUUGUCCGGAGUUACUGGGCGUAAAGCGCACGCAGGCGGUCUGCUAAGUUUGGAGUGACAGUUGGUGGCUUAACUGCCAAAGUGCUUCGAAAACUGACAGACUUGAGGGCUUCAGAGGGACACGGAAUUCCGGGUGGAGUGGUGAAAUGCGUAGAGAUGCGGAGGAACACCGAUGGCGAAGGCAGCCCCCUGGGCUAACACUGACGCUCAGGCACGAAAGCGUGGGGAGCAAACGGG